CUUCUUCCCAUUUUCAUCACUUGGCCGAAACUCCAUAACCAUUUUCUUCCCAACAUUUUUUCAAGCUUCAAGCUUGAAUUCCUCUCUAUCCAUCCACUAAAAUUCCUAAGUGCCUUCAUUAAAAACUCACCCCACACCUUGAGAAAGAUAGUGGCUGCCAAGAAUUUAAGGAAUUUUGAAGUUUUCACAAGACCAAGAUUGGUCAACAUAAGGUAAAAAGAGCAUAGAGCAGUGAAUAAGUUUCUUUGAAGACAUAUUCAGAUCAGCUCCAGGAAUAGAAAAUCUUGUGAAAAGAUAUGGAAGAGAAGAAUGAGACAAUAGAACAGUCUGUGAUGGCAGAAGAACAAGUUGAGGUCCUAGCUCCAUAAAAUUUCGAAGGU